CGACCUACAGAACCGGAAUAUCUGCAAAGGAGAAGAUACCAUGCUUGUAAGUGAAUUACAAUAACGCAUAAGAAACAAAGCUAAUCGAUAACAAGACAUACAAACAAUAAGGUGUUUUGAUUAACAUUUAUGCUCAAAUUUUUAUCAGAACAUUUGUAAACCUCUUAUAUACUAAACUCCUAGCUAAAGACACAUAAACAUAUUGUAAGAAUAUACAAAAUGG